ensembl:lncRNA
CCUAACAAAAACUGCUGGCAUAACUCUUAACUUCUAACCCUAAAUCUAUCCUAACCAAAGCCCUACCACUAAACCUUUCCGUAGCCUUCACAAUUACUCAAACCCUAGCCCAGAAAUCUAAUACUAAUCCCCAAACUAACCUUAAUUGUAAAACAUAAGCUCUACACCAGGACCUAACCCCCUAUACCUACCCCUACCCCUAAAUCAUAACGCUUUGUCUAACACUGAACCCUAACCCUAAACCCUAACCUUGAACCCUAAAUCCUAACCUGGAAUCUAAUCACUAAAAUAAACUCUGACCCUCACAACAAAAUUUAAACCUAACUUCUAAUCCUAAACCCUAAUGUCUAAACCUAACCCAAAGUAAGAGUGGCAGGGUUCAUCAGUUACCUGGGGUGCCAGCUAAGUCCUGGUCUGCCCAGGAAGAUUCAGCCAAGUGUUUUUGUGUCACUCUGUCAGGUUGUGUACUGAGUGUGAGUUGGGGGAAAUCAGCAGCCCAGGGGCUAUUUUACGUCCAGUGCAGGAAAAGUUCAGUUGAAAAGAUCACAGUAGAUGACCUCACUUCCUUAUGAUGACACUUUGCUCAGAACCCUGUUGCCAAGCAACACAUAGCACCACUAACUGAUGCCUGCUCACUUGUCUGGAGAUAUAGGACAUGUGAGGAUGUUUUCUUGCUGUCUCCCUACUUCCCAAGGCUCAAGCCUCAGGAGAUCUCUCAGGAGAGGAGUCAGCCGCAUCUGGAGAAACUGGGUCCCACGUCUCACAUGAUGCCUGUGGCCAUUUUCUCAGAGGAGUCAAAGUGGGAAACACAGUAGCCGAGGGCAGGUACUGUUUGACUAGUGACAGCUGGCACUGUCACAAGUGGCACCCGAACAAGGAACUGAGUAUGGAAGACAAGGUGAAGGACGCCACCGGAUUGUGAGCUCGUAUAAAAUGAAGACAGUGUGCGAUGGUUGCCAGAAUGGCUCGUGUGCCAGGUGGAUGUCUCUUCAACAGAAUCUCUUCCUCCUCAUAAUGAUGGCCACAAUGACCAGAUGUGAGAUGUUCUGGGCUUAUGUCCCUGACCCUCCGCUUCUCCAUCCUGUUACCUGGGAAGACCCACCAAUUUCUGUGUACUGUUCGACUAGUGACGGCUGGCACCGUCACAAUGAACAAAUCUUCAGUAGCACGGGAGCUAGCACAAAGAAUCAACAACUGGGAUCUCAUCUUAUUAAAAAGUUUCUGGACUGCAAGAGAAACCACCAACAGAGCUAAGAGACAACCUACAAUGUAGGAAAAAAUUUUUAGCAGCUGUACCUCAGAGAAAGAUCUACUAUCAAGAAUAUAUAAAGAAUGUACAUGAAAAUCACUCUAAGCCAUGCUGAAGGAUUUGAUUGUGGAGGUCACAGUGCUCAUGGUGGUGUUGAUGCCACAUGGGACGUGUGUGUCCCUAAUGAGGCCAGAUGUAAACUUCACUUCCCAUAAAGAACACCCUCUGAACAUCUCCUAUGAUUGCAUAAAGGAAAUCUUUCCCUUGCAGUCUGGGUCUAAAUUUUAGUUUCUUUUUCUUUCUUACAAACCCACCACUCAGGGAUUUGCUGCUUUACUGUUGUCUUUCCCAAGCCCUGGGUUUUGGGGAGAACAUUGUCUUCCUGUCUGUGCGGUUUUCAUUCCUGCCUCUUGGGUUGGUGACUCUCCAAUCCCACUGUGCUGUAGAGAAAACUGCUGUAGAUGUAGGUGCUCCUGGAUGAUUCAAUACUAGCACUGAGGGACCAACUGUGAUCAGC